rnacentral:rRNA from 1 species
AUGAACGCUGGCGGCGUGCCUCAUCCAUGCCCGUCGAGCGAACGGACGAGAAGCUUGCUUCUCUGAUGUUAGCGGCGGACGGGUGAGUAACACGUGGAUAACCUACCUAUAAGACUGGGAUAACUUCGGGAAACCGGAGCUAAUACCGGAUAAUAUUUUGAACCGCAUGGUUCAAAAGUGAAAGACGGUCUUGCUGUCACUUAUAGAUGGAUCCGCGCUGCAUUAGCUAGUUGGUAAGGUAACGGCUUACCAAGGCAACGAUGCAUAGCCGACCUGAGAGGGUGAUCGGCCACACUGGAACUGAGACACGGUCCAGACUCCUACGGGAGGCAGCAGUAGGGAAUCUUCCGCAAUGGGCGAAAGCCUGACGGAGCAACGCCGCGUGAGUGAUGAAGGUCUUCGGAUCGUAAAACUCUGUUAUUAGGGAAGAACAUAUGUGUAAGUAACUGUGCACAUCUUGACGGUACCUAAUCAGAAAGCCACGGCUAACUACGUG